UGUCCCCAGUGAGAUAAGCGCCUAAAACUCCGCUUCUGUCCUUGUAUGUGUGCUAACGUCUUGUUCUCUUUGUUCGUCCAACUAACAGACCACCCGAUGCCCCGUCCCCGCCAAAAAAGAUAAAACGCUGAAAGGAGCGGCACACGGUGAGGUUAUGCGUCCCGCUCAAUCAGCCAAGACAAGGGUCAUGCAUAGCUGAUUAGACACCACACAACCGGCAAGUUGGCAUCUUAACUGUAAUCAUCUGACAUAGCAUGACACGGCAAGCACCAUCAUCUGAGUUUUUUGUUGUUGUUUUUUUUUGCAGGAUGUGAAGGCUUCUUGUUUGUCAUCUAAUAGCUGAGGAGAGAAAAUUACAUUCGUCUCGCUGGGAACCCUCCUGUGAACUACCAAAGGUUACGAGGCCUCCCUCUCUUUUGUGGGAAAGGAAGCCGGUAUUUACAUUUCUCAUCUAGCCGUGAACAAGAUUAGUGAAGCAAAAAGGAAAACUUUCUCUUACUUUCUCUGUUAAGGAUCGGUGUUGAAGAGUCUGCUUCUGAUCCCCUCCAAAAAAACUUUUGAGGAACUGUUCUCUCUCCCACUACUUGCUUGAGACUACUAAAUAUGACAGUCCAGGAAUGCACCGCACGGGAUUUUAAGCUCUCACACACCCACUGGAACACACUCCGCCCCACCGCGAAGGGCUGAAGUUUCUCCCACUCUCACCAAGCUGUUCCUUUCCAGCACUCAGCACGAGUUGGGGAUUGCGUAAAACAGAGCACAAAGUUGGGGUGAGAGAGAAUUACUGAUAUGUAACAACUACAAUAGUGUAACAAUUCACACUAUGUAUCCAGUAAACAAAUUUGCGUCAUA